CGCGAAUGGCUCAUUACAACAGCCACUGUUUACUUGAUCUUGACUAUCCUACUUGGAUAACUGUGGUAAUUCUAGAGCUAAUACACGCAAUAAAGCUCCGACCUUACGGGACGAGCGCAUUUAUUAGACCAAAACCAAUCGGGCUUCGGCCUGAGCCGUUGGUGACUCUGAAUAACUGAGCUGAUCGCAUGGUCUUUGUACCGGCGACGCAUCUUUCAAGUGUCUGCCUUAUCAACUUUCGAUGGUAGUUUAUGUGCCUACCAUGGUUGUUACGGGUAACGGAGAAUAAGGGUUCGACUCCGGAGAGGGAGCCUGAGAAACGGCUACCACAUCCAAGGAAGGCAGCAGGCGCGCAAAUUACCCACUCUCGGCACGAGGAGGUAGUGACGAAAAAUAACGAGGCGGUUCUCUAUGAGGCCCGCUAUCGGAAUGGGUACAAUUUAAACCCUUUAACGAGGACCUAUGAGAGGGCAAGUCUGGUGCCAGCAGCCGCGGUAAUUCCAGCU
rnacentral:rRNA from 1 species